GUGCUCACUUUGGCAGCACAUAUACUAAAACUAGACCGAUACAGAGAAGAUUAGCACAGUCCCUGAGCAAGGAUGACACAUAAAUUCAUAAAGUUCCAUAUUUUA
ensembl:snRNA U6 U6 spliceosomal RNA